AGUGACCGCUGCCGGCGUGCUUAAUACAUGCAAGUCGACCGGAAUUUAAAAGAGCUUGCUCUUUUAAAUUUAGUGGCGCACGGGUGAGUAAUAUAUAGCUAAUCUGCCCCUUGCUGGAGGACAACAAUUAGAAAUGACUGCUAAUACUCCAUACUCCUUUUUACCAUAAGAUAAAUCGGGAAAGAAUUUCGGCAAGGGAUGAGACUAUAUCGUAUCAGCUAGUCGGUGGGGUAACGGCCUACCGAGGCUAUGACGCGUAACUGGUCUGAGAGGAUGAUCAGUCACAUUGGAACUGAGACACGGUCCAAACUCCUACGGGAGGCAGCAGUAGGGAAUAUUGCGCAAUGGGGGAAACCCUGACGCAGCAACGCCGCGUGGAGGAUGACACUUUUCGGAGCGUAAACUCCUUUUGUUAGGGAAGAAUAAUGACGGUACCUAACGAAUAAGC
rnacentral:rRNA from 1 species